rnacentral:rRNA from 1 species
GACGAACGCUGGCGGCGUGCUUAACACAUGCAAGUCGAACGGAAUGGCCCUGCUUUUGUGGGGUGCUCGAGUGGCGAACGGGUGAGUAACACGUGAGUAACCUGCCCUUGACUUUGGGAUAACUUCAGGAAACUGGGGCUAAUACCGGAUAGGAGCUCCUGCUGCAUGGUGGGGGUUGGAAAGUUUCGGCGGUUGGGGAUGGACUCGCGGCUUAUCAGCUUGUUGGUGGGGUAGUGGCUUACCAAGGCUUUGACGGGUAGCCGGCCUGAGAGGGUGACCGGCCACAUUGGGACUGAGAUACGGCCCAGACUCCUACGGGAGGCAGCAGUGGGGAAUAUUGCACAAUGGGCGGAAGCCUGAUGCAGCAACGCCGCGUGCGGGAUGACGGCCUUCGGGUUGUAAACCGCUUUCGCCUGUGACGAAGCGUGAGUGGCGGUAAUGGGUAAAGAAGCACCGGCUAACUACGUG